AUUGAACGCUGGCGGCAGGCCUAACACAUGCAAGUCGAGCGAGCGGCGGACGGGUGAGUAAUGUCUGGGAAACUGCCUGAUGGAGGGGGAUAACUACUGGAAACGGUAGCUAAUACCGCAUACCCUCAGAUGUGCCCAGAUGGGAUUAGCUAGUAGGUGGGGUAACGGCUAACCUAGGCGACGAUCCCUAGCGGGUCUGAGAGGAUGACCAGCCACACGGGAACUGAGAAACGGGCCGGAAUACUACGUGAGGCAGCAGUGGGAAAUAUUGCACAAGGGGCGAAAGCCUGAUGCAGCCAUGCCGCGUGUGUGAAGAAGGCCUUCGGGUUGUAAAGUACUUUCAGCGGGGAGGCGUUACCCGCAGAAGAAGCACCGGCUAACUCCGUGCCAGCAGCCGCGGUAAUA
rnacentral:rRNA from 1 species